GAAAUGCGAUACGUAAUGUGAAUUGCAGAAUUCAGUGAAUCAUCGAGUCUUUGAACGCACAUUGCGCCCCCUGGUAUUCCGGGGGGCAUGCCUGUCCGAGCGUCAUUGCUGCCCUCAAGCACGGCUUGUGUGUUGGGCCCCCGUCCCCCUCCCAGGAAGGGGACGGGCCCGAAAGGCAGCGGCGGCACCGUGUCCGGUCCUCGAGCGUAUGGGAAGCAACUUUUUGUCACCCGCUCCUGUAGGUCCGGCCGGCGGCCUGCCCAACCCCAACCUUUUUUUAACCAGGUUGACCUCGGAUCAGGUAGGGAUACCCGCUGAACUUAA
rnacentral:misc_RNA from 1 species